rnacentral:rRNA from 1 species
GACGAACGCUGGCGGCGUGCCUAAUACAUGCAAGUAGAACGCUGAAGCGAGGAGCUUGCUCUUCUUGGAUGAGUUGCGAACGGGUGAGUAACGCGUAGGUAACCUGCCUUGUAGCGGGGGAUAACUAUUGGAAACGAUAGCUAAUACCGCAUAACAAUGGAUGACCCAUGUCAUUUAUUUGAAAGGGGCAAAUGCUCCACUACAAGAUGGACCCGCGUUGUAUUAGCUAGUAGGUGAGGUAACGGCUCACCUAGGCGACGAUACAUAGCCGACCUGAGAGGGUGAUCGGCCACACUGGGACUGAGACACGGCCCAGACUCCUACGGGAGGCAGCAGUAGGGAAUCUUCGGCAAUGGGGGCAACCCUGACCGAGCAACGCCGCGUGAGUGAAGAAGGUUUUCGGAUCGUAAAGCUCUGUUGUAAGUCAAGAACGAGUGUGAGAGUGGAAAGUUCACACUGUGACGGUAGCUUACCAGAAAGGGACGGCUAACUACGUG